CAGUUCGGAUUGAAGGCUGAAAUUCGCCUUCAUGAAGCCGGAAUUGCUAGUAAUGGCAGGUCAGCAUACUGCCGUGAAUACGUUCCCGGGCCCUGUACACACCGCCCGUCACACCAUGAGAGUUGGGGAUACCCGAAGCCUGUGAGCUAACUUUUAGAGGCAGCAGUCGAAGGUAGAAUCAAUGAUUGGGGUGAAGUCGUAACAAGGUAAC
rnacentral:rRNA from 1 species